rnacentral:rRNA from 1 species
AUUGAACGCUGGCGGCAUGCUUUACACAUGCAAGUCGAACGGCAGCGCGGGCUUCGGCCUGGCGGCGAGUGGCGAACGGGUGAGUAAUGCAUCGGAACGUGCCCAGUAGUGGGGGAUAGCCCGGCGAAAGCCGGAUUAAUACCGCAUACGACCUGAGGGUGAAAGCGGGGGACCGAAAGGCCUCGCGCUAUUGGAGCGGCCGAUGUCGGAUUAGCUAGUUGGUGGGGUAAAGGCUUACCAAGGCGACGAUCCGUAGCUGGUCUGAGAGGACGACCAGCCACAAUUGGACUUGGGAACGGCCCCGACUCCUAAGGGAGGCAGCAGGGGGGAAUUUUGGGAAAUGGGGGCAACCCUGAUCCAGCCAUGCCGCGUGCGGGAAGAAGGCCUUCGGGUUGUAAACCGCUUUUGUUCGGGAAGAAAUCCUCUGGGCUAAUACCCCGGGGGGAUGACGGUACCGGAAGAAUAAGCACCGGCUAACUACGUG